rnacentral:rRNA from 1 species
CCCUUAGAUGUCCUGGGCCGCACGUGCGCUACACUGAGUGUCUGAGAUACGAGUCUGCCUGGUCCGGCAAGGUCUAGGUAAUCGCUAAAAGACACAUCAUGCUUGGGAUAGAUUAUUGCAAAUAUUAAUCUUGAACGAGGAAUUCCUAGUAAGCGCAAGUCAACAGCUUGCGUUGAUUACGUCCCUGCCCUUUGUACACACCGCCCGUCGCUACUACUGAUUGGAUGUUUAAGCGAGGUUCUCGAACUGCUAGCGACUUAGCUUCGGUGAGGUCGCAGUGUGGGAAGUGAACCUAGCUUUGGUGUCUAGAGGAAGUAAAAGUCGUAACA